UACGUAGGGGGCAAGCGUUGUCCGGAUUUAUUGGGCGUAAAGAGCGUGUAGGCGGCUUCACAGGUCUGCUGUGAAAACUCGAGGCUCAACCUCGAGCUGUCGGUGGAAACCGUGGGGCUAGAGUCCGGAAGAGGAGAGUGGAAUUCCUGGUGUAGCGGUGAAAUGCGCAGAUAUCAGGAAGAACACCCGUGGCUAAGGCGGCUCUCUAGUACGGUACUGACGCUGAGACGCGAAAGCGUGGGGAGCGAACAGG
rnacentral:rRNA from 1 species